GCCUUCAUGGUGUAGUGGUCAGCACGCUGGGCGCGUAUUCCAGAGGUCCGUGGUUCGAGUCUCGGCGAAGGCG
rnacentral:tRNA from 1 species